rnacentral:rRNA from 1 species
AUUGAACGCUGGCGGCAGGCCUAACACAUGCAAGUCGAGCGAGCGGCGGAAGGGUGAGUAAUGUCUGGGAAACUGCCUGAGGGAGGGGGAUAACUACUGGAAACGGGAGCUAAUACCGCAUACCCUCAGAUGUGCCCAGAUGGGGUAAGCUAGUAGGUGGGGUAACUGCUCACCUAGGCGACGAUCCCUAGCUGGUCUGAGAGGUUGACCAGCAAAACUGGAACUGAGACACGGUCCAGACUCCUACGGGAGGCAGCAGUGGGGAAUAUUGCACAAUGGGCUCAAGCCUGAUGCAGCCAUGCCGCGUGUAUGAAGAAGGCCGUCGGGUUGUAAAGUACUUUCAGUGAGGAGGCGUUACCCGCAGAAGAAGCACCGGCUAACUCCGUGCCAGCAGCCGCGGUAAUAC